AUGGAAGGUGAUCUGGAACGUCUCCAGGAUUCCAGGGAUCUGCCUGUACGCCGUAUAUCUGGGAUGCGCCGUUUUCAUCAACCUCAAGGCUACCCCAGGGCUGUUGCACCUCAGAUUCCUUAUCCACGUUCUCAGAUGGAUCUCGAUUUUGGGCCUGAAGAGUAUCCCAAAGCUGCCGGAGGUGUGAGAACUGCAGAGCAUGUGGAACAGAAACAAGGAGGAUAUAAAUCUGCCUUUGCAGUGCUUGCCGUUCUGUUCUUUCUGAUGGUCCUGGCUGCUUUGGCUUACCUGGCAAAACGUCUGCUGAUGAAGAGACAAAAAAAAACAAUGACAUUUGAAGCUGUCAUGAAAAAUGAAGACCCAGCUCCAGCAGAAAAACGACAGCCAGUAGCUCGAAUUACCAUAGAAAUUCAAGAUGUUUCUGGGGAUUCACAGUCACGUCGGAAGGGUCUUGUCCGAUGUAUAUUCUCACCAAUCACUGCCUUAUUCAGACAGUCCCCACAGCAAUCCUCUAAGCUUGACCUUUGCUUGCACUCAGGAAUCUCUGGUACAAGCAAAAAGGCACUAACAUCAGGAAAAGAGGAGAAAAAUGCAUCCUGAUGUGGAAAAGCAGUGAAAUUGGUUGAAUCAUAGAACUCCUGGUGGACUUUCCCAGUUCCAGCAGUCCAUUUCUGAUUCAGUACUUAGGAUGACCAUUAUAGCAUUCACCGCUUAUUCCAUAUCAUGACAUCAUGCCCAAGUUGUUUACAACACAUAUAUGUAUAUCUAAACAGUCAAUAAACUAUAAUUACCAUCAUAGUACA
rnacentral:lncRNA from 1 species